UACGUAGGGUGCAAGCGUUGUCCGGAAUUAUUGGGCGUAAAGAGCUCGUAGGCGGCUUGUCGCGUCGACUGUGAAAACUUGGGGCUCAACUCCAGGCUUGCAGUCGAUACGGGCAGGCUAGAGUUCGGUAGGGGAGACUGGAAUUCCUGGUGUAGCGGUGAAAUGCGCAGAUAUCAGGAGGAACACCGGUGGCGAAGGCGGGUCUCUGGGCCGAUACUGACGCUGAGGAGCGAAAGCGUGGGGAGCGAACAGG
rnacentral:rRNA from 1 species